CUUCAGUAGCUCAGUUGGUUAGAGCACCUGACUGUUAAUCAGGGGGUCGUUGGUUCAAGCCCAUCCUGAAGCG
rnacentral:tRNA from 3 species